AGUGAAAUAUGUGGAAGAUUUUUAGUAGAAAGGUUUUAAUUAAUCAAGUAUACAAUCAAUGUGAAUCUAGCCAUUUUUGUUUUAAGUUAUUAUUCUAUUAAAAGCUAAUAGAAAGUUGCCUACGCCCUGGAAUGUACCAAACUGAUAAGAAACACAGGGUCAGAUAUACAUUGAGGGCCUGCGAAAAUCAAGCAGAGGGCCUCUCCUCUAGGGAUGUAUGAAAUGUGUAGACUAAAGAUAAAGUUGUUGACUAUGUGGAACCGCCCCAUAUAAUGUAUAAAAAUAAAAACCAAAUAGCAUACGAGAGAUCUUCUUGCCAGGAGCUCUCGGCUUUGUUUUGCGCAAAAUAAAGUCUUUUCUUCUGAGAGAAAAAUCCCUGACUGAGUUCGAUUCUUUGGAGAACCGGCAAAAUACACCACAUAUUUGGCACCCCAGAUGGGACUGGAAAGGAGCAGAGUGGACGACUGCUUUUGAGCUGACUGAUGAGCAACACACACACACAGUGGUGGCCGCCAUAGAAUAAGGUAAGCAUUUUUGCUUUUAUAAUUAGUGUGUGUUGUUGACUGGUCAGUUCUGAGUGGUAAGGACACUUAAAAUCUGCUCUUCCAAAUUUAGAAAAAUAAUAGGAUAUCUAAAUUGAAAAAGGGGUUUUACUCCAGAAGAAAUAACUGCAUGCACAUAUUUGGGUUAUUAAUAGGAAAGCCUUGGAAGGUAACCUUGAUUUAAAACAAAAAUGGUGUAGGCAGAAAGACAUUGCAUGCUGUGGGUCUGUGUUUAUUGGAUAGCUGUGACCUAGGAAAGGGCAGUGAUAAACGGAUAAGCAGAUUAGUUAAGGAAUCGCGAGGAAAAGUCCCACGGAUACCGCUUUGAGAAAGUAUAAGUGAAAUUCUCGAAGGACUGAAUAGGUGGGCCCUUAAGGAGCUCUAGUUUUCCAUUUACAGGUGACAGCAGUUCCAGUAAGACCAAGGAAUGCUUCGCCCCAUCAAAGAGAACCAGUGAGGGUGCAGUUAUGAUCUCAAGAGAGCCUUGCAUUAAUCAGCAAAACAGUUACAGAGUGACACCUGAGUUCACAUCUCUAACCUUAAAAUAAUCCAACCAGCUUCAACAACUCCACACAGCAUGAAGUGAGGGAUGAAGGGCGUGCUAGUAACGACCCACCCUUGCCAACGAGGGAAAGACCAUUGCAACGACUCGCAAAGAGUCUCCCUGGUGAAGAUGGAAUGAGAGAAUGAUGGGACUGCUAUUGAGAUCAAAAUACUUGGGUGCAGAUAUGAGCCAACAAAUAGAAAAGAAAAAGUGGAAAAAGAAUGUAAAGUAAUGGUAGAUGAAGAAUUUGAAGGUUAUGAGAAGGGAAAUAUGGAUGUAGGAAGGAUAGAAGGGAGAAUAGAGCAAUUGGAUGCAACAAAUAGAAUGAAAGGAGCAAAAUAGAAAAG